GGGGCUUGGAGACGUUCCAAAAUUUCAAGACUCAUAUAGAGAAUUCUGGUACGUAACUGCUCCCUGGCAAUCAAUCGUGUGAAUCCCAAUCGUCUCUGCGUUUCCUUGUUCCAGAAACCAGAGGCCGGACCACCCAAGCAGCACAACAGUGUAUGUUGCUGCUUUAUUUUAAUGAAAUUCUUUCCGGGGGUUCACUCUUUUCUAAGAUGGCAUCAAUGUUAGAGGACUAAGCUGAUUUCACCGUUCUUAGUUGGUUGUGGUGGUGUUAGGUGGUGGUUGUGAAAGUGCCGAAGCAUGUGGAGACUUUGAUUGCCAAUGAGAAGGUCGCUGAAGAAGAUCUUAAGUUGUUUGAUGCUGAUUUUGUCAAAGUUGAUCAGAGUACUUUUUUUAAUCUUAUUCUUGCAGGUUUUCAUUUUAUUUUUUUGAUAUUUUAAAUAUGAAUAUUGUUUGUUGAUGAUGGUUAUGUGUAAUUUGUUGCCCUAAAUUCCCUGGUUACUCAAACAAUAGAAGAUUUAACAGUGGAUUCCCAAAAUUGGAUAAGAAGAGUAGUAAAAUAUUCCCAGUUUACCCUUGUUUUCCCGAACAUCAGUUCUUCACGUAUCAAGUCAAGUGCUUGGUUGGAACUGGAGUUGAGCUACCACCCGUUUGGAUGGGAUUCGGACAGGGGAAAGCAUUUAAAAAGUUGUGUGUAUUUGUUGUUAGUUGACAUGUCGUUGACUGUUUCAUCUGCUGCUUGUGUUGCACCAUUGAAUCAGGUUGUCAGAGGUGUCGUUGCUUAACCACCGUGAUGUUUGUAAUGUAUCAGAAAGUUUCAUCUGUAGGUGUACCGCUCGUUGGACUAAACUGAAGUGGAGAUGGGGCAUUUGGAAGGUAGGAAGGCGGAUUCAUGGAUAACAGAUGGUGCAUUUUCAAGCUAGGAAUGGAGGAUUCGUGGAUAGUAGAUGGUGCAUUUUAGCAUUCCGGUCUCAAUCAGGAAGCAACCAUGAGUGAGAAGGAUCUGCAGUAGCGUGCUGAGAUCAAGAGACUGUUGAAAGAGGCAACUGCACUAUACAAUGAUACUUCAUAGUUCAUACAUAUACAUGUAGGUUAGGUAAACGAGUCCAAGUAAGCAGGGGAGUAGGUUAGUAGGUACCCGGGGGUGCACCCGCCCCUUCCAAUGUUUUGGUUAGAAGUGUAUAAUUUCCUAUUUUCCGUCCAAAAAUUUUUAAAAAUUAUAUAGGAUCGCCCCUCCAAUUAUUUUGCCGAAAUAUUUAUACAGUGUAUAAAUUAAAGUAAAGUUUGUUACCACUUUAAACCUUAAAUGUCAUCGGGCUCAGUUGUAAUUCUUUGUCCAUGCUUCAUUUAUCUGGUACCAUUCUAUAUAUAUUGGUCUUUUGUUUGUUAAACAAUAUUUAGUUUUUUUUUUAUAUGUAAGAACGAAUCCUUU
rnacentral:lncRNA from 1 species